rnacentral:rRNA from 1 species
CGGGGAAUAUUGCGCAAUGGGCGAAAGCCUGACGCAGCAACGCCGCGUGAGGGAUGAAGGCUCUCGGGUUGUAAACCUCUUUCAGCAGGGACGAUUGUGACGGUACCUGCAGAAGAAGCCCGCCGCAACUACGUGCCAGCAGCCGCGGUAAUACGUAGGGGCGGAGCGUUGUUCCGGCAGUUUUAUUGGGGCGUAAAGAGCUCGUAGGUGGUUCGAUAAGUCGGGUGUGAAAACUCUGGGCUUAACUCAGAGACGCCACCCGAUACUGUCGUGACUUGAGUCUGGUAGGGGAGUGUGGAAUUCCCAGUGUAGCGGUGAAAUGCGCAGAUAUUGGGAGGAACACCAGUGGCGAAGGCGGCACUCUGGGCCAGUACUGACACUGAGGAGC